rnacentral:rRNA from 1 species
AAGAGACAGCAGUAGCCACGGUAAUACGAAGGGUGCAAGCGUUAAUCGGAAUUACUGGGCGUAAAGCGUGCGUAGGCGGUUUGUUAAGUCUGUUGUGAAAUCCCCGGGCUCAACCUGGGAAUGGCAAUGGAUACUGGCAAGCUAGAGUGUGUCAGAGGAUGGUGGAAUUCCCGGUGUAGCGGUGAAAUGCGUAGAGAUCGGGAGGAACAUCUGUGGCGAAGGCGACUAUCUGGGCCAACACUGACACUGAGGCACGAAAGCGUGGGGAGCAAACAGGAUUAGAUACCCGCGUAGUCCCUGUCUCUUAUAC